rnacentral:rRNA from 1 species
CAGUAGCCGCGGGAAAACGGAGGGUGCAAGCGUUAAUCGGAAUUACUGGGCGUAAAGCGCACGCAGGCGGUCUGACAAGUCAGAUGUGAAAUCCCCGGGCUUAACCUGGGAACUGCAUUUGAAACUGUCAGGCUGGAGUCUUGUAGAGGGGGGUGGAAUUCCAGGUGUAGCGGUGAAAUGCGUAGAGAUCUGGAGGAAUACCGGUGGCGAAGGCGGCCCCCUGGACAAAGACUGACGCUCAGGUGCGAAAGCGUGGGGAGCAAACAGGAUUAGAUACCCCAGUAGUCCCUGUCUCUUAUAA